rnacentral:tRNA from 1 species
UGAAAAUAAGGUAUAGCAUAAAUUAAUGUUUUUCACUUACACUGAAAAGAUGACUUAAGAGGAGUCUACCUUAA